UUCACAUGGCAAUGAUUUCUGUGGAAAUUAGAAUCUGUAUGGAAAUGAAGAUGGUGAAAAGCGUGUUUGUGGGGAGAAAUUUAACUAGAGAUGAGACUACAAUACGGAUUGUGAAAACAGAAUGUUUGUAAGGAGACUACAAGGAACGUUUGAUGGAUCUGAAGAAAAAAACAUGAAGAAAACAAAGAAUUGUUGCUAAAAAUUGCCACCACCACUGAUUGCUCCUUCUGAUUGUUUGCCACCACUGAUUGUUUGAUGUUCUUUCCAAGACUUUAUGACCAACUACAGUUAUCUGCUAGAUCUAUUGUCUCAAUUGAAACUGUUCCAUCCAGGUCUUUUUGUUAUCUUUAUGGACUAGUUUUCCUGUAUUUUCCAUGCUUCUCACAAAUUUAUUGUUGUAAGAUGUUAAUUUUUAAUACGAUAUUUUAGAUAUUAAUUUCUAUUGUUUUUGAAAAUAUAAAUUAACUUUUAAAAAUUUAAACUAAGUAACAUAUUCAGUUAAUAUAAGUUUAAUUUUGGCUUUAAUAUUUUAGCAGCUUUUGCCUUAAGAUAACUUUCAGAAAAGUUAUCUCGAUAAAUAUUUUUUUUAUAAAUACUUUUCAAAUUUAUCACAAUUGCGAACAAAUUAAUAUGAUUUUUUGGACGUUUCUGUUAAAUGAGUUUUAAAAAAGCAGUUAUCUAUUUCAUCUUCAGGCACACAGUAUCCUCAACAGUAGAAUAUUCACGCUGUUUUACUUAAUUGUAUCACUAUAUUUAUAAACAAAUACCGCCCCGAUUUUAAAAAAUAAUUUUACCCGGGUCUCAUUCCCUUAUUAAAAAAAUUAUUGGUUAGAAAACUUAUGCACCGAAUUUUUUAGAAUGUUUAACGUGCAUUCUGAUGUAAAAGUGUUUAGAUUCUAACAUGACUUGUUAAUUUAAGCUUUUGUUUUCGUUUGCGACGUAUAAUUUUGUCCCAUAGUAGCGAAAAUUGAAGUUUUUUUUCCCUUAGUGAUCUCGUUUUUCUGAAGUUUAAUAACGACUUUUUCUGAAGUUUAAUAACGACAAAAUUUCUAUUUAGUUUUGUGUCUUUUAUUUUUAAGCUGUCCUUAUUUUAAAGUAUAUGAAAUGAAACUAAAAGAUUAGAUAUUUAAAAAUAAACAAGUGAGAAAUUAUCAAAGACAACGUUAGCAGUUUCGAUAACUGCCUAGCUGUGUAGUAUAUUUUUGUGUCUAAUACUUUAAUUACAGAAAACAUUAAAAUAAAGUAGAGCAAUUGU